GCGACUUUGCUGAGCAAUUGCUCAAACCUCUGUGCUACCCCGCCUUCCCGCGUGAAAGCAGAUCCCAGCCUCAGUGAAGAUGGCUCAUGACCUGCUGAGUUCCUCCAGCAUUUUUUGUGUGUUACACAAAUCCUUAUGAUGUCCGCAAGAGAAGACAGAUGGAGCCUGUCCAAGCAAUGACAUCUUCAAUACAGCAGGAGUCUCUCUCUAAGCUACGUGUAUCCUUAUUGUUUUGGGAGCAUCUGAGGCUGAGCUCCAUCUGUUAAUGGAAAUGAAAACAAGAAAAGGCUGAAAACACUCAGGGGGUCAGGCAACAUCUGUGGAAAGAGAAACAUUUAUCAUUUCAGAUCCUCAACUCACUGGCACACUCUCAUCCUGCACUGGUCUCCUCUCAUCCUUUUUGCUGCUGCUUCGCGGCAACCGCAUACAAGCCCGAUUAACCCUAACCUAAUCCUGAGACAGUUUACAAUGAUCAGUUCCCAGUACGUCUUGGGACUGAGGGAGGAAAACGGAGGACCUGGAGAAGACAUAUACAUUCCAUGCAGGGGACGUACAGAUACUACUUACAGAACAGUGCCAGAACUGAACUUUAAACUCGGGAAUGCCUCGACCUGUAAUAGUGUUGCACUAACUGUAACACUACUGUGGUGCCCAUGUGCAUGCUGAUUAUAACUAUAUGCACUCUAUUGACUAUAUAUACUGUGUGUUUGCACCUUGGCAACAGAGGAUCAAUGUUUCAUUUAGCUGUAUACAUGUGUAUGGUUGAAUAUCAAUAAACUUGAACUGAGAGGGUGAAAAUUCUGAAAGGUUUGAGUGGGGACGAGUGGAAUAACUCUAUUAUUGUAAAGCCAGUGAUACCCUGAGGAUUAACUACAAAUAAAGCCAUCUAGUAGAUAGUACAGUACUGUGCAAAAGACUUAGACAACUAUAUAUAGCUAAGAUGCCUAAGACAUUUGCACAGUUCUGUAGUAAUUUUAUGUAUUACACCAUACUUCCGUCACACAAAAAAAAAUUCAUGUCAUAUGUGAGUGAUGAUAAACCUGGUUCUGAUAUGGGUCUCUAUUGUGGACUGAGAAUGGGAAGGGGACAGGGAAAGGGGGGUCAUGGUUUGGAAAAGGGGAGGGGAGAGGGGAAGGAGUGGGAAGCACCAGACAGGCAUUCUGUAAUGAUCAGUAAGCCAAUUGUACUGAAUCAGAUGACCUUGCCCGAUGAAUCAUGAUUAGGUGUGUCUGUACCCGCAGCACCCUCCGUCCCUGGCACUCCUUCCCUACCACCUGUCCCACACCCUCUCGUGGCACUCCACCCUUGCCAUUCCCAACAUUCUUUGCUCCUGCCAGAUUUACAAACUCAUUCUCCACUCCACAUUGACAAAUACAGUAUAGUGCAAGAGUGUUAGGCACCCUACCUAUAUAAAUGGAUGAGAUUGGACGACUCAUAUAUAUACAUACGUGUUAGCUUUUCCACAGUAAUGUAGAUUUGGCCUGUUCCCCUAAAUCCUCACCAAUUUUUAUCGAUACACCAUUGAAAACACCUUAUCCGGACUGUAGUAGGGGGAAGUACAUUCAUAGU